GGACUUCCGGGGCGCUGGUUGCAUCAGAUUCUGGGAAGCCGGCGCCGCGGCUGCUGGUUUGUAAUUCCUACGAUGUCAGGUUCCUCUGGGGAGCAGGCUCCCGCCUACAGGUCCAUCCUGAGCAUUAGUGACGAGGCAGCCAAGGUGCAGGCCCUGAACGAGCACCUCAGCACGCGUAGCUAUGUCCAGGGGUACUCACUGUCCCAGGCAGACGUGGACGUGUUCAGGCAGCUCUCGGCCCCUCCCGCCGACACGCGCCUCUUCCACGUGGCUCGGUGGUUCAGGCACAUGGAAGCGAUCCUGGGUGGCGCCUGCGGCAGAGGCGAGCCCUGUGGGCGCCAAGCAAGUAAAGGUCGGCGGGGGCAGCCUCAGUGGUCUCCUCCAGCCGGGUCUCCGCCGUGCAAGCUCCGCCUUUACAACAGCCUCACCCGGAACAAGGACGUGUUUAUACCUCAAAACGGGAAGAAGGUGACGUGGUACUGCUGCGGGCCUACCGUCUACGACGCGUCUCACAUGGGGCACGCCAGGUCCUACAUUUCCUUCGACAUCCUGAGGAGAGUGCUGCAGGACUACUUCGGCUUCGACGUGUUCUACUGCAUGAACAUCACGGACAUCGACGACAAGAUCAUCAAGAGGGCCCGGCAGAACUACUUGUUUGAGCAGUACCGGGGGAAGCAGCCGCGGGCGGCCCAGCUCCUGGAGGAUGUUCACGCCGCCCUGAAGCCGUUUUCAGUCAAGUUAAAUGAGACCGCGGACCCGGACAGAAAGCAAAUGCUGGAGCGCACUCAGCGCGCGGUGGAGCUGGCCGCAGAGCCCCUGGAGAGAGCCGUGCGGGGCGGCCUCCCGGCAGAGGAGGCCGCCCGCUGCGCAGAGGUGUUGUUGGAAGAAGCAAAAGAUUUGCUCUCUGACUGGCUGGACUCCACACUGGGCAGCGAAGUCACGGACAAUUCUAUUUUCUCCAAACUGCCCAAGUUCUGGGAAGAAGAAUUCCACAGAGACAUGGAAACCCUGAACGUUCUCCCUCCGGACGUCCUGACCCGGGUGAGUGAAUAUGUGCCGGAGAUCGUGAACUUUGUCCAGAAGAUUGUGGACAACGGCUACGGCUACGUUUCCAAUGGGUCCGUCUACUUCGACACCGUGAAGUUUGCUUCCAGCGAGAGACACUCCUACGGGAAGCUGGUGCCCGAGGCCGUUGGGGACCAGAAAGCCCUGCAGGAAGGGGAAGGUGACCUGAGCGUCUCGGCAGACCGCCUGAGUGAGAAGCGGUCCCCCAAUGACUUCGCUCUGUGGAAAGCCUCCAAGCCCGGCGAGCCAUCCUGGCCGUGCCCGUGGGGAAAGGGGCGUCCGGGAUGGCACAUCGAGUGCUCGGCCAUGGCAAGCGCUCUCCUGGGAGCCUCGAUGGACAUUCACGGAGGGGGCUUCGACCUCCGGUUCCCCCACCACGACAACGAGCUGGCCCAGUCAGAGGCCUACUUCGACAACGACUGCUGGGUCCGCUAUUUCCUCCACACGGGCCACCUGACCAUCGCGGGCUGCAAGAUGUCCAAGUCGCUCAAGAACUUCAUCACCAUCAAAGACGCCUUGCAGAAGCACUCAGCGCGGCAGCUGCGGCUGGCCUUCCUCAUGCACUCGUGGAAGGACACGCUGGACUACUCGAGCAACACCAUGGAGUCCGCGCUUCAGUACGAGAGGUUCAUGAACGAGUUUUUCUUAAAUGUGAAAGACAUCCUCCGAGCUCCUGUUGACAUAACCGGUCGGUUUGAAAAGUGGGAAGACGAGGAGUCGGAGCUGAACAAGAGCUUUUACGACAAGAAGACGGCGGUGCACGAGGCCCUCUGUGAUAACGUCGACACGCGCACGGUCCUGGAAGAGAUGCGGGCUCUGGUCGGCCAGUGCAACCUCUACAUGGCGGCCCGGAAGGCCGCGAGGAGGAGGCCCAACCGGGCUCUGCUGGAAAGCAUCGCUCGGUACCUCACCCACAUGCUCAAGGUCUUUGGGGCCAUAGAAGAGGAAAGCUCCCUGGGAUUCCCGGUCAGAGGACCUGGGAGCAGCCUAAAUCUCGAGUCCACGGUCAUGCCCUACCUGCAGGUGUUGUCGGACUUCCGAGAAGGCGUGCGCAAGAUCGCCCGAGAGCAGAAAGGUGCGGGCUGGGCCAGCCGGGGACUUGGUGGGCGUGGCGGCUGGGCCAGGCGGCCUUCUGGGAGCGUGAGCUGAUCCGGCCCGGGACCUGGCUGUGAACGACAGAGUGUCCCGGCGCCACCAGCAGGGAUGGCAGCACGUGCCCGCUUCACAGACGUGAACGUCGGCCCCGCCUGGCAGGCGGCUGGUCCCAGGUACCGGCCGACCCGCGGGGGCUGUCACUGCGGCUGAAUGUCCUUCACGGAGGUCAGGUCCUCACGGCGGAGCUCCUGAGCGAGGCGCUCUUCUCCUCCAAGGCAGACGGACUGCUUCUCCCUGCCGCCUCAUCCCCGGCACUGAGCCUCCUGGGAACAGGGCCUCUCUGGCCGCCGGGCUCGCCCUGCGACCGCUGCCGCAGAACCGUAAAGGCCGCCGUCCCCGGCCUGGAGGGAGCGAGCCUGUGGUCAUUGGCUCUGCCUCUGGGACUCACAGAGACUGACACGGAGGUUUGAGAACGUCUGAACCCGCAGGGACCGUCCACUGAGGUCUGAAGGCCACGUCGGUGGCCACCUCACUCCUGCCCACUCCGUCUGCUGGGUCGGGUCCCUGAGGUCCUGCAGCUCAGCGACGCCCUGCGGGACGACAUCCUGCCCGAGCUCGGGGUGCGGCUCGAAGAUCACGAAG